rnacentral:rRNA from 1 species
AUACGUAGGGGGCGAGCGUUACCCGGAAUCACUGGGCGUAAAGGGAGCGUAGGUGGCCUGACAUGUCAACUGUGAAAACCCGGAGCUCAACUCCGGACUUGCAGUUGAAACUGCCAGGCUUGAGGACGGUAGAGGAAGACGGAACUGCCAGUGUAGGGGUAAAAUCCUUAGAUAUUGGCAGGAACGCCGGUGACGAAGGUGGUUUUCUGGGCCGGUUCUGACACUGAUGCUCGAAAGCCAGGGGAGCGAACGGGAUUAGAUACCCCGGUAGUCCUGGCCCUAAACGAUGUUCACUAGGUGUGGGGAGCGGAAAGCUUUCCGUGCUAAAGCUAACGCGAUAAGUGAACCGCCUGGGGAAUACGCCCGCAAGGGUGAA